CAGCCACCUGUGUGUGUACACAAUAAUCUCCUCUUGGUCUACAUUCACGUUCUACAGUGCAAACGAUUCGGACAUCUCAAUUUCCCGUACCACAUCAUUUUGUCUUUCUAGGCUCUCAUAAUUCAACGCCAAGAAAUUAUUUUAAGAAUUUUCAAAUAGGCCCAAUUGAAACACUACAAAAAAACAUUUUUUUUCUUUUUCAGCGCAUAAUCAUACAACAAUUAAAAGUUGUCCAACUUCGAACCACUUUUGCUGCUGCAGCUGCAGCUGCUCUCUAGUUAAUUACAGCACUUUUUGAGUGUGAAUGAUCGGUUGAGUGAUAAGAUGGAGACUAGUGUACCAGCCCGACUUGCUGGCUCCGAGAUUCAUGGAUUCCGAACUAUGGAAGGUACAAGUAAUAUAUCCACACAUAUAAUUGUUACUGUGUGAAAUUUAUUUAUUUAUUUAUUUAUUUUGAGUAUUUUGAAUUUUUGAUUCGUCUGGGAGUUUGAUUUGGGUUAGUCUAAUACUGAAUUUUGGGAAUUUAGAGUUUUUACUUUUUAUUAUUCUAUGCUGACGUUAGUACUUGGAAUUAGAUAUUGGGGAAG